rnacentral:lncRNA from 1 species
GACCCAGGUGGACGCAGUUAUCAAUUGUCGAUACAAGAUUGAAAAGAAAAAACAAACGAAAAAACAAAACCGUGAAAUGUAUAGAAAAAAGGAAAUGUGGCAUGAUUGCCAAUAAUACAAUUCUCCAAAAGAGAUCAAAUGACACAGAACUUAACUUAUAUAGGUCACCGUACGGCCGUUUACAAUGAGUAAAGCCCAUACACCAUAGUCAGCUAUUAAAGGCCCCG